rnacentral:rRNA from 1 species
ACUCCUACGGGAGGCAGCAGUGGGGAAUAUUGCACAAUGGGCGCAAGCCUGAUGCAGCCAUGCCGCGUGUAUGAAGAAGGCCUUCGGGUUGUAAAGUACUUUCAGCGGGGAGGAAGGCAAUACGGUUAAUAACCGUGUUGAUUGACGUUACCCGCAGAAGAAGCACCGGCUAACUCCGUGCCAGCAGCCGCGGUAAUACGGAGGGUGCAAGCGUUAAUCGGAAUUACUGGGCGUAAAGCGCACGCAGGCGGUCUGUCAAGUCGGAUGUGAAAUCCCCGGGCUCAACCUGGGAACUGCAUUCGAAACUGGCAGGCUUGAGUCUUGUAGAGGGGGGUAGAAUUCCAGGUGUAGCGGUGAAAUGCGUAGAGAUCUGGAGGAAUACCGGUGGCGAAGGCGGCCCCCUGGACAAAGACUGACGCUCAGGUGCGAAAGCGUGGGGAGCAAACAGGAUUAGAUACCCCGGUAGUCCCAUG